GUGGACUACAAGGGUAUCUAAUCCCUUUCGCUACCCUGGCCUUCGUAUCUCAGCGUCAGUAAAUGUCCAGUGACUCGCCUUCGCCACGAGUGUUCCUCUCGAUAUCUACGCAUUUCACUGCUACACCGAGAAUUCCAGUCACCCCUCCAUUACUCUAGCAAAGCAGUAUCGGAUGCAGUUCCGAGGUUGAGCCCCGGGCUUUCACAUCUGACUUACCUUGCCGCCUACAUACUCUUUACGCCCAGUGAUUCCGAACAACGCUUGGGACCUUCGUAUUACCGCGGCUGCUGGCACGAAGUUAGCCGUCCCUUCCUCUUCAGGUACUAUCAACCUUGGAAGCUAUUAACGACCAAGGCUUACUCCCUGAUGACAGGAGUUUACGACCCUAGGGCCUUCAUCC
rnacentral:misc_RNA from 1 species